rnacentral:rRNA from 1 species
GAUGAACGCUGGCGGCGUGCCUAAUACAUGCAAGUCGAGCGAAUGGAUUAAGAGCUUGCUCUUAUGAAGUUAGCGGCGGACGGGUGAGUAACACGUGUGUAACCUGCCCAUAAGACUGGGAUAACUCCGGGAAACCGGGGCUAAUACCGGAUAACAUUUUGAACCGCAUGGUUCGAAAUUGAAUGGCGGCUUCGGCUGUCACUUAAGGAUGGACCCGCGUCGCAUUAGCUAGUUGGUGAGGUAACGGCUCACCAAGGCAACGAUGCGUAGCCGACCUGAGAGGGUGAUCGGCCACACUGGGACUGAGACACGGCCCAGACUCCUACGGGAGGCAGCAGUAGGGAAUCUUCCGCAAUGGACGAAAGUCUGACGGAGCAACGCCGCGUGAGUGAUGAAGGCUUUCGGGUCGUAAAACUCUGUUGUUAGGGAAGAACAAGUGCUAGUUGAAUAAGCUGGCACCUUGACGGUACCUAACCAGAAAGCCACGGCUAACUACGUGCCAGCCGCCGCGGUAA